AGGUCACUUUAUUUAAAAGAAUAAUCACAGGGAUCAAACACAUCUUUGUCAUUCCUGGAUCAUCUCUGGGACGCACCAUGGACCUGUGGGACUGUAUCUGCUCCAUCUUGCAGUUAAAGAGGGGAAUCCAGCAAUGUGGUGUUUUUUGAUUGGCUGCUGAUGGCUGAUUUUCCAAGCGUGAGCGUACAAGCGAGAAAGCUGCAGUUAACAGAAGGGGGAGGGAGCGACAGCGAUGAUUCACUUGUAUAGUGUGAGCAGGAGAGCGACAAAGAGAAGAAACGGUGAUUGAAUCUUGAAUGGAUGUGAUUAUGAUCUGCUGUCAGAGUCUGGGGCCAGAUCAGACAGAUGAAGGUGAGCGUUUGCCAAGCCAGCUGUUGUUGGCCACGAAUGGGUCUUGGCUAACCAGAAUGGCUAGCCUUUCAAACAGAACUUAUCUUCUCUGCAUAUCGGAUGCUGGAAGCAACUGGAUCACAGCGCUGGCUCGUCACAACAUAACAAUCUUCCACCUGUACACAUGUAUCACAGAGACGCAUGGACAGAUGGACUCAAGAGAUUGAAAUUGUGCAGGUAUUACGAAGUAUGCGUUCACAUUUGUGUAUUUGUUAUACGUGUUAAUGCUUACACAUAGGAAUUUACUGUAAGGGUCUGGUUUAGCUGUGAUGUUUGUAUGGU